rnacentral:rRNA from 1 species
UCCUACGGGGGGCAGCAGUGGGGAAUAUUGGGCAAUGGGCGCAAGCCUGACCCAGCAACGCCGCGUGAAGGAAGAAGGCUUUCGGGUUGUAAACUUCUUUUAUGAGGGACGAAACAAAUGACGGUACCUCAUGAAUAAGCCACGGCUAACUACGUGCCAGCAGCCGCGGUAAUACGUAGGUGGCAAGCGUUGUCCGGAUUUACUGGGUGUAAAGGGCGUGCAGCCGGAGAGACAAGUCAGAUGUGAAAUCCGCGGGCUCAACCCGCGAACUGCAUUUGAAACUGUUUCCCUUGAGUAUCGGAGAG